rnacentral:rRNA from 1 species
GACGUAGGGCGCGAGCGUUGUCCGGAUUUAUUGGGCGUAAAGAGCUCGUAGGCGGCUUGUCGCGUCGUCCGUGAAAACUUGGGGCUCAACCCCAAGCUUGCGGUCGAUACGGGCAGGCUAGAGUUCGGUAGGGGAGACUGGAAUUCCUGGUGUAGCGGUGAAAUGCGCAGAUAUCAGGAGGAACACCUAUUGCGAAGGCAGCUCGCUGGGACGUAACUGACGCUGAGACGCGAAAGCGUGGGGAGCAAACAGG